GGUCGAGUAGCGCAAUGGUAGCGUAUUGCUUUCCGGUUUCGGAAUGUGGCAAAGGUUGCGGGUUCAAGUCCCGUCUUGAUCG
rnacentral:tRNA from 1 species